AAAGACUUAGAAAAAAAAAAGAAAGAAAGAAAGGACAUUGCCAUGGCUGCCAACCUCUCGGCCAGCCAUGGUUGAUGAGGAAAAAAAUAAUUUUGCAUGUUUUGAUCAAGUCUCAAGUUGAAUUACAAGUUCAAGGAGGUGAUAGCAACAUUGGAUUUUAAGUUGGAGAAGAAGAAAUUGUAAAAUUGGAGCAAUAUUGAGCGUAGAAAUUCCUCCGAGAAAAAUUUGGCUAAAAGAGCGACAAGGCGAACGGGUUUGCGAAUAGUCGCUAACAGGUGCAGAUACUCGCUUUGGUGAUCCGCCAGCUUAGGAUUCCCUUUCUGCUGUCUUGGAGAGCUCCGUUGUUCCAGAGCCUAGAUUUUGGUACAGACUUUCUGAUGUAUAUAUAUAUGUAUGUUUGUCUAGGGGUACGACGGGGCCCUGUCCCGUCAUAUUGCACUGUUGAAACUCUUAGAGGUCUGUAGACAUGUAUGUGGGUUGUAUCCAGAUUUGAUCAGUCGUGUCUAUAUGGUUACUGUGGAUGUUCUUUCGUUAUAACAGUCUU